UACGGAGGGUGCAAGCGUUGUCCGGAAUCACUGGGCGUAAAGGGCGCGUAGGCGGCUCAUGAAGGCUGUGGUGAAAGUCCGGGGCUCAACCGUGGAACGGCUGGGCAUACUGGACGCCUUGAGGCACACAGGGGCGAGCGGAACAAGUGGUGGAGCGGUGAAAUGCGUAGAUAUCACUUGGAACGCCGACGGUGAAAACAGCUCGCUGGGUGUGAUUCUGACGCUGGAGGCACGAAAGCCAGGGGAGCGAACGGG
rnacentral:rRNA from 1 species